rnacentral:rRNA from 1 species
GACAAACGCUGGCGGCGUGCCUAAUACAUGCAAGUCGAACGACGAAAGCCUUCGGGCAAGUAAGAGUGGCGCACGGGCGAGGAACACGUAGAUAAUCUGCCCUUCAGUGGGGAAUAACUCUCCGAAAGGAGUGCUAAUACCGAAUAAGACCACAAGCUCUGCGGAGCAAGGGGUUAAAGGAUUUAUUCGCUGAAGGAUUAGUCUGCGUCCGAUUAGCUAGUUGGUGAAGUAAUGUCUUACCAAGGCAAUGAUCGGUAGAUGGUUUGAGAGGACGAUCAUCCGCACUGGAACUGAGACACGGUCCAGACUCCUACGGGAGGCAGCAGUAGGGAAUAUUGCACAAUGGGGGAAACCCUGACGCAGCAACGCCGCGUGAGUGAUGAAGGCUCUAGGGUCGUAAAGCUCUGUCGUAUGGGAAGAAAAAAAUGACGGUACCAUACAAGAAAGGACCGGCCAACUUCGUGCCAGCCGCCGCAGUAA